rnacentral:ribozyme from 1 species
GCAUUGGGCUUAUGCUUAGGCUUUGCUUUUUUACUUGAGCAGAAAAAAGCAAAAGAAAAGAAGAGAAGGAAGAAAAGGAGAAUUUCGUCACUAUCUUAACCUCUCUCUCUCUCUCUCUCUCUCUCUCUCUCUCUCUCUCUCUCUCU